AUGUCCGGAGCGGGAGGCAGGUGGAUGAUCUCCUCCGUCACGGAGGGACACAUCAAGAAGCUGAGGAGAACCGGAUACCUGCCCGACGACAUCGCGCACCGGCUCCCAGAUGAGGGGCAGCUCAUCCCCACCCCCAGGCCCCACGAGAGGGUAGUGUUCCUUACCCAUUUCCUCCGCGGACUGGGAUUCCCUCUCCACCCACUCGUCCGGGGGCUCAUGUUCUACUACGGUCUGGAUUUCCACGAUCUGGCCCCGAACUUCAUCCUCAAUAUCUCGGCGUUUAUCAUCGUGUGCGAGGCCUUCCUCCGCGUCAAGCCCCACUUCGGCUUAUGGCUGAAAACCUUUAAUGUCAAGCCGAAGGUAGUGAGCGGCCGCCAGGCGGAGUGCAGACGCGCCAUGGUGGGCAAGAUGCCCAACGUCACAUGGCUCGAGGGUUCCUUCGUGGAGACCAUAAAGGGGUGA
rnacentral:rRNA from 1 species